UACGUAGGGUGCAAGCGUUAAUCGGAAUUACUGGGCGUAAAGCGUGCGCAGGCGGUUAUAUAAGACAGUUGUGAAAUCCCCGGGCUCAACCUGGGAACUGCAUCUGUGACUGUAUAGCUAGAGUACGGUAGAGGGGGAUGGAAUUCCGCGUGUAGCAUGAAAUGCGUAGAUAUGCGGAGGAACAUCGAUGGCGAAGGCAAUCCCCUGGACCUGUACUGACGCUCAUGCACGAAAGCGUGGGGAGCAAACAGG
rnacentral:rRNA from 1 species